rnacentral:rRNA from 1 species
AUACGGAGGAUCCGAGCGUUAUCCGGAUUUAUUGGGUUUAAAGGGUGCGCAGGCGGCCAUUUAAGUCAGCGGUUAAAUCGUGGGGCUCAACCCCAUUCUGCCGUUGAUACUGGGUGGCUUGAUUGCGGUCGAGGUUGGCGGAAUUCGUUGUGUAGCGGUGAAAUGCAUAGAUAUGACGAAGAACACCGAUUGCGUAGGCCGCUCACCAGACCGCAAAUGACGCUCAUGCACUAAAGUGCGGGGAUCGAACAGUAUUAGAUACCCUGGUAGGCCGCACAGUAAACGAUGAAUACUUGUUUUCGGCGAUCUAAUGUCGGAGGUAUAGCGAAAGCGAUAAGUAUUCCCCCUGGGCAGUUCCCCGGCACCGGUGAAGCUCGAAUGAAUUGACGUGG